UUCAUCUUGGUUAUUCAAACACUUCCUUUGAGUAUUCUUACUCCAAAAAACAAACAUUGGACAAGACAAACAAGAUAGACAGUACAGAUAAAAAUAAAACAAACUCUGAACAUAAGGAACAUGAUGUUCGUUCCUAAAACUGUCAACAAUGGACAUGGAACAACAUUGAUAGGAUGGACAAAACAGUAGUGUGAUAGACAAGACGUCUUGUCUGUUCUGUCCUAUGGUACAACUAUCAAAUGACCUCUUAUUUUCUACUAAUGUAGUUCCAUUUUGUUGAGGUCACAUGGCAACUAUACUGUGACCAGUGAGUGACAUCUAAAGUUUGGAGCCAAUUUCUUGGGCAGGCACCUUGCACAGGAUUGUAUUCAAAGUAUUGGCAAAGAAGUCGCACAGAACUCUUGCAGUUCAAAGUAGGUUCCCACUUUUUACAUUUAACCGGAUUUCUGCAAAGCUCACUACAAGGAAAUGUGCUUUUAGGGACUGGCAAAACGGUUGCUGGAAGCAUUAAAACCCCAUUGGUACAAGCUUUUAGCGACAGUUACAACUGUUGUUAAAAAUAGUUAGAACCGUGGAUAUGAGUGUCGUGCCUAAAUUGGGGAGUCAAUCAUAUAGAUUCUAUAAAACUCAUGUAGAAUUGGUGGGUCAAUCACUGAGAUUGUUCAGUAGAGACUGAGAUGAUGAAGGUUGAGGACGAGGAGAGAAAAGAAGGUGAGGGUUUCUAGUGCGGUGAGGCAGAUGGGAGCAGGGGCCCAUGGCCUCAAGAGGGGGAGAAGGAGGCCAUAGUUAGCAAACUCUACGUACCUUGCGAGCAGCCUUCGAUCGUGGGCAGAUGUGGUGGAAAACAGCGAGAAGGUGAGUCUUGUGGGAGUGCCUGAAGCUGGGUUUCAUUCUCUGAUGAAAUCCCAGCAAUUUUCAAUUAGUCGAAGGCGUAUGAGCAGAUGAAGAAGCCGUUCACAUUUUGCGGCAAUGGCAGGCCAUUUUGUGGUCUCAAGCACGAUCCUAUUGCUUCGUUACCAGGUUGGGUGUUUUUGUGUUGCAAAAUUCAUCUGUAUCGAGUGAUUCUAUUCAGAUUCUGCUCCUGGCUACUGGUGAUCAUGUUCCGUAAUGGGAUCGGUUCGAUCCUAAGUGAAUAACUGGCUUUUUGCAUUGUUUUUCGGAUCUAAUGUGUCCCUCAUUACAUUUUAGGUUGGGUUGCUGCAAACAUCUGUGCAUUUGCGUGAGUAUUAGUAUUCAAAUGCAUAGAACUAAGCUUUCUUGGGUGAUUCUGGGAGCGACUGAUGCAAGAUUUUUGGGUAUUGUCAUGAAUGUUUGUAAGCCUAGAAUAAAUCCAUAACGUGAAUGUGCAUCUUAUUUGCUGUUUGAGUUGAAUUACAUUGUUUUUUUUGUGAAUUUUAUUUAUGCCAUUUAAUCCUCAAAAAGUUGUAUAGAACACACACCCCCCCGAUCAGUUCCCCUCGAAGUGCUCACCUGCACAGCACAGCACAAGGCCACUGAGAGCUUUGUAAGUUGUAACACAGGUAAACUCUCUCUCUCUCUCUCUCUCUCUCUCUCUCUCUCUCUCUCGAUUUGUCCAUCAGCCUCUCUCUCAAUCUACUGACCAUUUUUGUUUGCCGCUCUCUCUCUUCCUCUCUCUAGGUGUGUGUGUCUCCCUAGUUCAUUUCCAUUUUUCUUUCUCUUGAUCUAUCGAACUUCUCUAUAUAUGUAAAUCUUCUAUUUCUCUAUCUCUCCUUUUCAUCUUCCUCCUUGGUUCUCACUUCUCAGCAUGCCGGAGACAAAUCCCUAAUUUAGUCUACAUCAACAACUACGACAUUGUAUAAAUUAGGGUUUUGAUCUUCGAUGUUGUAGGGUGUCUAAGGUCGAUUCCUAAAUGAUGUAAUUCAACUAAUUCCAAUGUUUUUUGGCUCCUUUGACUCUCCUGUUGCGAACUUUUUGGUUUUCUAAAAUUCUUGCCCUACUUUUUCGUUAUGUGUUUCUGUUUAUAUUUUUUUUUGUGGUGUUGGCCCUUGAUUUGUUGUCUGAAGUGUGAUCAUUCAUGCUUGCCUUUAGGGGCAAGAUUAUGUGUUUUUCUUCUUGUUUUUUGCUACUUGUGGUUCACAAGUACGUGAUCACUUAUAGUCUUUUUAUGUGCACAUAAAGUGUCUUGGAAUGGAUGUUUGAUUCAUUUGAUGUGGAAUUGGCUGGUGUAGUCUGGAACAAGGAUCUUGCUUUUUUCUUUUACAUGAAGUAUUGGAGGAUGCUGUGCACAAUGGGGAGUUGAAUGAAGUGGAAAAAUACCUUUUGGGUUCUCAUAAGUGGACGAAAAUAGGUACUUCAUGAAGAUUUCUUUGAGAAAUGGAAGCAUAAGUACCCUGAGGCUAUGGAUAGGUAAGACUAACUCUCCUUAUACCCUCCUCUUUCCGGUGUUGGGGAUGCCUAUUAAGCGAGUAACUCUUUUAUUUUUUUUUUCCUAGUAUUUUUAGUCAAUAAGCUCAUAAGUUUACUUACCUGAAACGAAAGUUAAAACUUGUUUCAGAAAGAAAAAUAAAAAAUUAAGCAGAGAUUUUGUUUGAUUAGAUUAUCAACGGCCGUAGUGGCUUGUCCUGAAUGAAAUAUGAUAGAUGAUGGUGAAGUGGAUCAAACGAGAAGCCUUAGAAAAUAGAGAACUGUAAAUAAACAGGUAAUUCCUUUUACUCUUGUCAUGCUUUUGAUAUCUACGGAAUAAAAGGCUCCUAAAAGAAUAAACAUUUUAGUAAUUUGUAAAACUUCCAGAUUAGUUUCUUAUGCCUGUUAUGUCGAGUAAACAAUAUCAAGGAAUCUCUUAUUUCCUGGGUCUUUCACUUGUGAUCUAUGUUGAAAGAGCGUGACUUGCACACCUGGAAGAUGAGCUGCUAAUAGUGUUGCUUGUUUAUUUUUCUUCUUCUAAACGGAGGUGGUGUUUAUUCUCUUCUCUUCUUUCAUUUCUUCUUUUCCUGCUGAGACACAUUUUUUUUUUCUUUUGCCAUUUGAGAUAUUUCUUUAUUUUUUCCAUUUUGUUUGUAUGCAGAUUUUCUUUUACUAAUUCUUUCUAUAAUAUAUAUAUAUAUAUAUAUAUAUAUAUAUAUAUAUAUAUCGUGAGAGAGAGAGAGAGAGAAAGAGAGAGAGAGUCUCUAUAUAUACAUAUGUCUGAAUGGUUGUUUAUACUUUAUAGUUAUUUGUUAUUUGACAUUAUAGUUUACUUGUGUGCUUGCUUGUGCAUGCAUGUGCAUUUUAUUUCCUAAUCUACUCCUCUUUUGUAGCCUUUUAUUCAGGAGAAGUUUUGCAGGUGAAUACCUGGCAAAGGACACUAAAUGUAACUGAUGUUAUGACUAUUUCAGUUGGAAAUCAGAUAGAUGGACUGGCAUCCUGACAGCAAAUAUUCCUGCAGCUGCAGCAGCUUCUUCGGGGGGAGUUGAAUGAAGUGGAAAAAUACCUUUUGGGUUCUCAUAAGUGGACGAAAAUAGGUACUUCAUGAAGAUUUCUUUGAGAAAUGGAAGCAUAAGUACCCUGAGGCUAUGGAUAGGUAAGACUAACUCUCCUUAUACCCUCCUCUUUCCGGUGUUGGGGAUGCCUAUUAAGCGAGUAACUCUUUUAUUUUUUUUUUUCCUAGUAUUUUUAGUCAAUAAGCUCAUAAGUUUACUUACCUGAAACGAAAGUUAAAACUUGUUUCAGAAAGAAAAAUAAAAAAUUAAGCAGAGAUUUUGUUUGAUUAGAUUAUCAACGGCCGUAGUGGCUUGUCCUGAAUGAAAUAUGAUAGAUGAUGGUGAAGUGGAUCAAACGAGAAGCCUUAGAAAAUAGAGAACUGUAAAUAAACAGGUAAUUCCUUUUACUCUUGUCAUGCUUUUGAUAUCUACGGAAUAAAAGGCUCCUAAAAGAAUAAACAUUUUAGUAAUUUGUAAAACUUCCAGAUUAGUUUCUUAUGCCUGUUAUGUCGAGUAAACAAUAUCAAGGAAUCUCUUAUUUCCUGGGUCUUUCACUUGUGAUCUAUGUUGAAAGAGCGUGACUUGCACACCUGGAAGAUGAGCUGCUAAUAGUGUUGCUUGUUUAUUUUUCUUCUUCUAAACGGAGGUGGUGUUUAUUCUCUUCUCUUCUUUCAUUUCUUCUUUUCCUGCUGAGACACAUUUUUUUUUUCUUUUGCCAUUUGAGAUAUUUCUUUAUUUUUUCCAUUUUGUUUGUAUGCAGAUUUUCUUUUACUAAUUCUUUCUAUAAUAUAUAUAUAUAUAUAUAUAUAUAUAUAUAUCGUGAGAGAGAGAGAGAGAGAAAGAGAGAGAGAGUCUCUAUAUAUACAUAUGUCUGAAUGGUUGUUUAUACUUUAUAGUUAUUUGUUAUUUGACAUUAUAGUUUACUUGUGUGCUUGCUUGUGCAUGCAUGUGCAUUUUAUUUCCUAAUCUACUCCUCUUUUGUAGCCUUUUAUUCAGGAGAAGUUUUGCAGGUGAAUACCUGGCAAAGGACACUAAAUGUAACUGAUGUUAUGACUAUUUCAGUUGGAAAUCAGAUAGAUGGACUGGCAUCCUGACAGCAAAUAUUCCUGCAGCUGCAGCAGCUUCUGGGGCUAACUUGAAUGUGACAGAGGCAGUCAACCCUGAGGUGCUUUCUGCAGGAAUAACUAGUGAAAAUGUUAAGUGUAACUACACUAGGGAAAUAAGUGGUAUGAGGAAUUUCUGUGGCAGCAUUGGUGGGUUUGGACAAAAUAUGGCACCAUCAAAUUGUUUCAGUCUGGAUCUAGCUUUCCAAGGCUUGAAAUCUAGCUUUCCUAAUGAGCAAGUGCAGCCCAAGAAUGAUUCAUUCAAUAAGAUCCUUCUGACAAAGUAUGUGGGUCUCCUUCAACAAUUUGUUAGCAAUGCUGAGAAAGGUGGAGCAUUGAACAAAGCAUCAUUCACUGGAAGCUUGUUACAGAGCUGCUGCUUUGCUUCUCUCAAGACUUGAGACAGACAUGAACUUAACUCAGAAGGAUUUUUUCAGCUAUUGAGCCUUCUGUGUUGGUCUUAUAUUUUAACAACAGAUGCAAUGGAGACAGGAGUCUUUAUCUGGACAUGGCUGGUUUCAGCUGCACCUCAGUUGGGAUCUCUCCUUCUUGGUGAGAUUGUGGAUGCAUGGUUGUGGACAAUAGACACAGAAAAGGGGUUAUUUGCAUUUGGUAUGAACAAUGCUGGACCAGCUGCUAAAUUGAGGCCUCAGCUUGCAUUAGGGGAGCCUGAACCUCAUCCUGAUUGAGAUCCUGUUGAAGGAAUCACUGCUCAUAGAUUUUGGCUUGGUCUUCUUUUUUUGACAGAUUCGAAGUUAGCUAUGUCUCUGGUAAUUGAAAAUACAUUUUAGAGCCGCUACUGCAACUAUUUUUCCAUCUUGAAAUUGAUACUAAAAGGCUUCAAAGCAUUCUAUGAUUGCUGGUGGGCCACUUUGAACCAGGAUAAGUUAAAGUGCUGCUGUUGAUUCCAGCUCACCAACUUGAAUUUUUGAAACUGAUCUUUCAUGGAUCACUUUACAUUUAAAAGUUCUGUAUCUAAGGGAGAUUCUCCGUAAACUCUAUGCUAGUGGAUGGCCUUAUAGGAACCUAUCUUGGUGGACAAAUUUUGGUCUCCCCUUGUCUUCUAUAUGUUCACAUACACACCCCUUAAAAGGAACGUUAUAAUUUCCCAUGCAAAAAAAAGUAUUUAAGUAGGUAAAGUAAUAACAAUAUAAGUAAACUAACAAAAUAAAUAAAUAGAUAUAAAUACACAUUAUAACGAAUCUUAAACAUAAACAGUUUCCAUAUUUUUACCUUUUGUAUCUGCAUAUGCAUCCAUAGCCAUGCUGGGGAAUGACAAACAUAAUUCCCUUAUUCAGAUUUUAUUCAAACAUAUUGUUGGUGAAGAACAUAGUUAAAUAACCAUUUAAGAGCAUGGUUUUAUUAAGAAUUUAUGUUCAAAUAACAAAUUCUUUUUCCUUUCUUAUAGUGAAGACUUUGGCGGAGAGAAAGAGAAAGCAGCUGUUUUAAAAUUGGGCAUUGAAUUGGUCUAGCCUAUUGAAUCAUUCUUAUUUUUGUCAAAAGCUAGAAAAAGACACACACACACACAUAUAUAUAUGUGUUUCUUUUGUGUGUAUAUGCUUCUGCUUGCAUUUGUGCAUGUCACAACUGUAUACCUGCAGCAUGCUAUUGCCACGUUUGCAAAAUCUCUGGCCUCUAAAAUGCCUGAAGAUUUGAAGGUUUUGCCUUUUGAUCUAAAUAGUUUUUCACAUCGUUAGGGUUUGAUUAGUUUGCAUUUAAAAUUUUCCCUUUCUCUAUUCACGUUUGAAUUUGAAUUUACUCAUCAUGUUUGAAUUUGAGCUUUCUCUACUAUUUUUUGAUCUGAUCUUUUGAGUUUGAUAGUUAUGCAGAUGGUAGCAGGUAAUGUAACAGUGCAAAAAUUUAGCCCUAUAUUGAAGAUUUUGAGAGAUAUUCAAGAUCUUAUAAAGGGGGUUGUUAAGUUGUUGAUGGUCCUGAUUUCUACCCUGUUUUGGUCUGAAACUGCUAGGGAGUGAGUUGGGAUCCGUUAGACCAGGGGCCCAAGCCCGGGAGUGGGUCAGGUCGUUACAAAUAAAGAAUGCUAUGAAUUUGGUUGAUGGUUGGUAUGUUUCUCCCUAGAUUUUGGCACAAGUUGUUCAAUGUAAAUGAUACUUGUUUAUACAAGUAAAAAAUGACCUUAAAUUGUUGCUUUUCUUCAGCUUUUGGAACAUAUUCCAUAAUUUUGCUUGUUUUACUUGCAAAAUUGAUGUUGAUUCCUUGCCUAGUUACAUUGGUGUAAACUCAGGGAAUGAAUAUGUGCUCUUUAACUAUUGUAGUUCUGAAUAUCAUCUCAUUGUAUUUUAAUGGUGUUGCUUGUUGCUGGCCUUAUCCAGUUAUUAAAAAAAAAAAAAAGACUAACUUUGGCAUGUUUAGAGCUGUAUUGAUAGCAUUGAGAUAUAACUUUAGUUAUGUAUUUUCAUGAUCUUUUGUGUUAUUAGUUUAAAAUUUUUAUGGGUAGAGCUGGACGGAAUCAAUGGCUAUGCAAGUAUGGUGUGCUUAUUUAAGUUGUUUAUCUGCCUUCUUUUGUAAUUUUUGGUUCUCUUCUUUGUCUAAAGAUGUUUUUAUCUUGAUUGUAGUUUAUUUUUUUUAAAGAUUAUUCAUUUUCUUUGCCUAAUUUAUAUUAAUUUUUAAUAGGUGAAAUGGUUCACGAUGGAAAAUGUUCAAUGGAAAAAGUUCUGAAAUAUGACUCGUCACUUCAUGUUCUGUUUGUGGCAGCUGGUCAAUGACUCUCUCCAUGAUUCUACCCUUUGCCUUGUUUCCAUACUGUUCAAGUUUCUUCAGAUAAAUCCGUUCAAGAAGGUGGAAUGGUGCCUAAUCGUCUACUAAAACAUGCCCAUCAUGGAUAUUUUUGGUGGCUUCUAGUGCACAGUGGCGAUGGUGAUGAAUAUAGUAAAUGAAGUUUUUCAGCAGAUGAACAUACAAAGGUGCAGAAAACACUGAAUCAAUAGGACAGGUCUUUCAUCAAUCAAUUAAAAUUUUAUUUUGGAAGCUGGAUACUGGAUAUUUGUCUAUAAAUUUUUUGGGUUUUGUAAGCUUCUGAACAUUCUA